rnacentral:rRNA from 1 species
UACAGAGGUCUCAAGCGUUGUUCGGAUUCAUUGGGCGUAAAGGGUGCGUAGGCGGCGCGGCAAGUCGGGUGUGAAAUCUUGGAGCUUAACUCCGAAACUGCAUUCGAUACUGCCGUGCUUGAGGACUGGAGAGGAGACUGGAAUUUACGGUGUAGCGGUGAAAUGCGUAGAUAUCGUAAGGAAGACCGAGUGGCGAAGGCGGGUCUCUGGACAGUUCCUGACGCUGAGGCACGAAGGCCAGGGGAGCAAACGGG